AAUUAAUCUCAUCAAUAUUCAAGAACCCUUAAACGAUACUGAGUAAUUCUAUACCACUAUAGAAGAUUUUAUGUUAAAACUAGUAACAAGAAUAAGUACUUCUUAAAUAAUGCAAGUGUAAAUCAGACAGAACAUCUCACUGACAAUUAGCACCAAUGAAAUAAAAGUAGCAACUCAACAAGAAAAUUCUACUAGAUUAUGUGUUAACCUAACACAAGAGCAUUCCAAAAAAGAUUAAAAGAAAAAGAAGGAACUCGGCAAACUUUAACCUCGCCUGUUUACCAAAAACAUCGCCUCUUGAAUCAAAUAUAAGAGGUCCAGCCUGCCCAGUGACUCUGUUCAACGGCCGCGGUAUCCUAACCGUGCGAAGGUAGCGUAAUCACUUGUUCUUUAAAUGAGGACUAGUAUGAAUGGCAUCACGAAGGUUUUACUGUCUCCUUUUUCUAAUCAGUGAAACUAAUCUUCCCGUGAAGAAGCGGGGAUAAAUUUAUAAGACGAGAAGACCCUAUGGAGCUUUAAACCAUGUAACACUUGCACCAACUCGAUGUAAAUUCCAGAAAAAUCUAUUUUACUAAUGCAAGAACAUUACCAGUUUUAGGUUGGGGUGACCGCGGAGCAAAAAACAACCUCCACAUUGAAAGGACAACUCUCCUGAGCAAAGAAUAACAUCUCCAUGCACCAUUAAAAUGACAUCAAUUGACCCAAUAUUUUGAUCAACGAACCAAGUUACCCUAGGGAUAACAGCGCAAUCCACUUCAAGAGUCCCUAUCGACAAGUGGGUUUACGACCUCGAUGUUGGAUCAGGGUAUCCCGGUGGUGCAGCAGCUACCAAAGGUUCGUUUGUU
rnacentral:rRNA from 1 species